rnacentral:rRNA from 1 species
CGAGCGAGCGGGAAGAGCUCAAAUUUAUAAUCUGGCACCUUCGGUGUCCGAGUUGUAAUCUCUAGAAAUGUUUUCCGCGUUGGACCGCACACAAGUCUGUUGGAAUACAGCGGCAUAGUGGUGAGACCCCCGUAUAUGGUGCGGACGCCCAGCGCUUUGUGAUACAUUUUCGAAGAGUCGAGUUGUUUGGGAAUGCAGCUCAAAUUGGGUGGUAAAUUCCAUCUAAAGCUAAAUAUUGGCGAGAGACCGAUAGCGAACAAGUACCGUGAGGGAAAGAUGAAAAGCACUUUGGAAAGAGAGUUAACAGUACGUGAAAUUGUUGGAAGGGAAACGCUUGAAGUCAGACUUGCUUGCUGAGCAAUCGGUUUGCAGGCCAGCAUCAGUUUUCCGGGAUGGAUAAUGGUAGAGAGAAGGUAGCAGUUUCGGCUGUGUUAUAGCUCUCUGCUGGAUACAUCUUGGGGGACUGAGGAACGCAGUGUGCCUUUGGCGGGGGUUUCGACCUCUUCACACUUAGGAUGCUGGUGGAAUGGCUUUAAACGACCCGUCUUGAA